GCACUGGCAAUUUUGAUAGAUCAGUUGGUAGAGCAUGAGAUUUUUAACCUCAGGGUCAUGGGUUUGAGCCCCACGUCGGGCA